CAAGAGCGUAUGUAAAAGUUGUUGCAGUUAAAAAGCUCGUAGUUGAACCUUGGGUUUGGUUGGCCGGUCCGCUUUUUUGCGAGUACUGGAUUCAACCGAGCCUUUCCUUCUGGCUAACCAGUCGUUUCGGCGGCUGGCGAACCAGGAUUUUUACUUUGAGAAAAUUAGAGUGUUCAAAGCAGGCAUUAGCUUGAAUAUAUUAGCAUGGAAUAAUAGAAUAGGACGUUAUGAUUCUACUUUGUUGGUUUCUAGGACCAUCGUAAUGAUUAAUAGGGACGGUCGGGGGCAUCAGUAUUCAGUUGUCAGAGGUGAAAUUCUUGGAUUUACUGAAGACUAACUACUGCGAAAGCAUUUGCCAAGGACGUUUUCAUUAA
rnacentral:rRNA from 1 species